rnacentral:lncRNA from 1 species
GGACAGAAGAAGGAAGAAAGGAAAAAAUUUUCCCUCCCUCUCUCGGCUAGCUCUUAACAGACGAGAACAAAAACCAAACAAAAGAAAAAAAAAACUACUUCCUUAAUCUCCUCUCUCGGCUCUCACGGACAGAGGACAAGAAGAAAAAAAAAGACUCCACCCUUUUGGCUCAAUUUGCUCUCUCGGCUCUCUCCCUCAUCAGACAAGAGGAACAAAAAAAAAAAAAAAAAAAAAAGGGGGCUCCCUCUACACAUUUUCUUCCACAAAAUCCAAACACAUUUGCACACAACAAGGCAGCAAUCGGUUGGAUUGGAGCUUGGCAAUUUCAUCAAAAAUCUUGGCAAAGGGACCAAACUCUUCAUUGAGGACAAUUUGACUCCAUUUAGUCACCACUUCAAACGGGAG